UGGGGAAUAUUGGACAAUGGGCGAAAGCCUGAUCCAGCCAUGCCGCGUGUGUGAAGAAGGCCUUUUGGUUGUAAAGCACUUUAAGUGGGGAGGAAAAGCUUAUGGUUAAUACCCAUAAGCCCUGACGUUACCCACAGAAUAAGCACCGGCUAACUCUGUGCCAGCAGCCGCGGUAAUACAGAGGGUGCAAGCGUUAAUCGGAAUUACUGGGCGUAAAGCGCGCGUAGGUGGUUAUUUAAGUCAGAUGUGAAAGCCCCGGGCUUAACCUGGGAACUGCAUCUGAUACUGGAUAACUAGAGUAGGUGAGAGGGGAGUAGAAUUCCAGGUGUAGCGGUGAAAUGCGUAGAGAUCUGGAGGAAUACCGAUGGCGAAGGCAGCUCCCUGGCAUCACACUGACACUGAGGUGCGAAAGCGUGGGUAGCAAACAGGAUUAGAUACCCUGGUAGUCCACGCCGUAAACGAUGUCUACCAGUCGUUGGGUCUUUUAAAGACUUAGUGACGCAGUUAACGCAAUAAGUAGACCGCCUGGGGAGUACGGCCGCAAGGUUA
rnacentral:rRNA from 1 species